rnacentral:rRNA from 1 species
AUGCUGUGCAAGAAUACCAUGGCCUCCCUUGUCUUCCUUGUGGCGCUGCUGCUCUCAUGCAGCUCCAUGAGCAGUGCAGCACGGCACCUAGAGGAGGCUGUGCCUAAGAAGCAGUAUCCACCACAUCCGAUCGUCCCAGAGCUACCAAAGCCCGAACUCUCGCCGCACCCUGCCGUGCCCGAGCUGCCGAAGCCUGAACCACCGCACCCUCUAGUGCCCGAAGUGCCACACCCCAUGGUGCCGGAGACGCCAAAGGAGCCUGAAGUGUCACACCCCAUGGUGCCGGAGGUGCCAAAGCACGAGCUGCCACCGCACCCUGCUAUGCCCGAGCUCCUGAAGCCUGAACUGCCGCAUCCGGCUGUCCCGGAGACGCCAAAGGAAGUGCCACAUCCCAAGGUGCCGGAGGUGCCAAAGCACGACCUGCCACCGCACCCUGCUAUGCCCGAGAUCCCGAAGCCCGAACUGCCGCAUCCGAUUGUGCCUGCGGUGCCAAAGGAGACUCAAGCGCCACACUCAAUCGUUCCGGAGGUGCCAAAGGAGCACGAUCUGCCACGCCCUGUCAUGCCGGAGGUGCCAAAGAAGCCUGAAGCGCCACACCCCGUCGUGCCAGAGGUGCCAAAGGAGCACGAGCUGCCGCACCCUGCGAUGCCAGAGUUGCCAAAGCCUGAAAUGCCACACCAUGCCGUGCCUGGGGUGCCGAAAGAGCCCGAGUUACCGCACCCUGUUGUGCCAGAGGUCCCGAAGCACGAAAUGCCGCCGUUCCCCAAAGCCGAGCUGCCUCCGAAGCCCAAGUUCCACUUUCCGGAGCCAGCGGCCAAGCCAUGA